rnacentral:lncRNA from 1 species
UCUUCUCUAAAACCACUGUUCAAAAUUUAACCAUACUUGGCCUUAAUCAUCAUUGAGGUAUCUAGUUUAAAAAAUGUGUGCAGUGACCCAGCCAACCAACCAAGAUGGCCGCCAUGGCUAAAGAUAGAACAUUGGGGUAAAAUGUAGAUUUUGGCUUAUAACUCUGAAACCAAAGCAUUAAGAGCAAUUAUGACAUGGGGAUAAAUUGUUUUGCAAGUCAAGAUCUAUCUGCCCUGAAAUUUUCAGAUGAAUCCGACAACUGUUUGUUGGGUUGCUGCCCCUGAAUUGGAAAUUUUGAAGGAAA